GUGCUCAUACUGGCAGCACAUAUAGUAAAACUGCAAUGAUACAGAGAAGAUUAGCAUGGGCCUUGUGCAAAGAUGACAUACAUAUCUGUGAAGCAUUCCAUAUCUUU